rnacentral:lncRNA from 1 species
GGCAGUUCUUCCUGGUUAUACGCGGUAGAAAUUUUGAUUUGCGCUAGUGUAGCCUACCUCGUAUCCCAACAGUGGUAUCAGAGCCGUAGCUGCUUAGUUUUGGAUUCGGGAUGUGUGCAUAUGGAGAUAUGCGAGUUUUCUGUUUGAUCUAUGUCCUGGUUUCGUGCCCUUGCUGCAAUGGUAGUGUAACGACAUACUCCUACCGGUCGGUUUCCGCCAUCGGAGUUAAG